GAUUGCAGGCUGACCAACCCCGCCUGCAUGAAGUCGGAAUUGCUAGUAAUCGCGGAUCAGCAUGCCGCGGUGAAUACGUUCCCGGGCCUUGUACACACCGCCCGUCACACCAUGGGAGCCGGUAAUACCCGAAGUCAGUAGUCCAACCUCGUGAGGACGCUGCCGAAGGUAGGAUUGGCGACUGGGGUGAAGUCGUAACAAGGUAAC
rnacentral:rRNA from 1 species